ACUGAAAAAUUUAUCAUGAAAAAUGAUAUAAAUAAUUCAUAAAUGUUUUGAUUACUUUUUCUGCAUGAAGAUUAUAGAAAAAAUUUUUACAUAAUUUCUAUUGGAUAAAAAUAUAUAUCACUAUAAGUAAAUUUCUACUUUUUUAAAUAGAUGGCACUUAUAUCUACUCUUCUAGGUAUUUUUUUUCUUUUGUUUUACGUAGUUGCUAGUUGUGAAUAUGAGUCAUGUUGUAUUAAACGAUUAUUAUUUAGUUUUGUUAUAUGUAUUCAUAUUUUAUUCGUAAUUAUAAAUUAUAUAUUAUACAUUAAUAUCUAAUAUAUUAAAUUUUAUUACUAUUAUAAAUAAUUAAAUGACAUCAUUCUUAAAACUAAGAGUAGACUAACAUAAGUUACUAUAGAGUGUGCCAUAAAUCAGUCGAUGAUAUCAUUCGCAAAACUAAGCCACUAGUAUGCAAUGCAGAGCGAAUUUGGCAUCGAAGGAAGUGUCAACGUUCCUAAAAGGAUAGAGCCAGAUAUAAAAUUUGAAUAUAUUAAAUCGGUUUAAAGUAAUCGAAGUUUAUUCAACCUGUUUAUGAGAAAAAACGUUUUUAAUUUGUAUACCACCACGUUGGGGUUGCGGCCACAUCGUGUCUCGCCUGGAAAGUUAUGUCGCCCUGUUGGAUGGGUGACGCUCGCACAUGAACUCGCCAGCAACCCCUGCACGUCGUUUGCCGAACCGUUAGUACGCGUCAACGCGAGUUACGAGCGUGCACGCGUGUGCACCACGCGUGUAACGAACGUGUGUCCCUUCGCUAAGUCGGGGAUUAACGCGUGUUGCUUCUUUUCGACGGAACAGUCGGUAGCUGAGAAGAGGGAUGAGGAGGAAAACUGAUGAGGAAUUUCGAAGAACGGCGGCUGUUGUGGGAAUACCGCCGAGGUUUGUGCACUGUGUACGUAUAUUUAUAUGCGAAAUAAAAUAUGCGUUUUCAUUUAGAACUUAAAGUGUAUUUACAUUUUUUUUUUAAAUGUAUCGUUAAAUUUGCGGAGGGAUUUUUAUAUCUAAGAUAUAAUAUUGAUAUAUAGAUAUAGUUGAGAUAUUGUAUUAAUUGUAAGUAACAAUUAGUAAAUAAUUAUAAUAAAAAUGAUAAGUGAACAAAAUUGCAGAAUAGAUAGUAAUGAAUUAUGAGAAUUAUAAUGAUGUAAAUUAAUCUUCUAAUAUUUUUAUUCUAUUAUAUUAAUAUAUAUUGUUUAUUAUAGAAAAAUCAAUAUUUAUUUCAAAAUUAUUAUAACACGUAUUAACAAGAUCUCUAUAAAUUUAUGAAUAAUAAGAGAUUCAAUAAAUUAAAAUUCUUAACAUUUUCAUUUACUAAUUAUUAAAAUCAUUAUUUAUAUAAAAAAUACUAUAGAAAAUAUCACAAUGGAAAAAGAGUAUUUUUGAAAAAUGUUGAGAAACAAUACUGUUCUAUACAAUAUAAACGCUCUAUACAAUAACAAGAAAAAGAUACAUUGAUUCUUUCGUCAAAAGAUAGCGAUCCUUUCCAGCUUCCUCGUCGGCGCAGGACAAAGCGAGUCGCAAUUCAAACGAACGAACGGUCCACGAUUUCCUCGCGACGCAGACCGUUUCCGUUGAAGUAUUCACGAGUAGUAAGUGACUGGGCAAACGUUAGCCGUUUCAAAUGUUCGAUGCGGCCACGAAAGUCUCCGAGCUAUAGGAUGGAAAAAGGGUCUUCGAGAAGGUGCAACGACUUGGAAGGAGCGGGGUGUGACAAGUGCGGCGAACGACGAAACACGUGAGAAAAGGGAGGGGAUGAAAGUGAUCGGUUUGCGCACGGUAUGAAAAUGCGUAGUGGGAGAAAGAAAGAAAGAUGCUCACGGCGUUGAGAGGGGGAACGUGUGCGGACGCGCCAAUUACCAACUCGGCCGAAGACGGCCAUUAAGAGAGUCGGCAAACAAACGACUUUCCCUUUUUGUCGUUCUCGAUCGGACUAACGAUCAUCGGUAUACACCUUCGCGUGAUUUCAGCCAACACGAGGGACGAAGAUCGACUUCCAUUCUAUAGCCAUCGUUCGUUCUUUCGAACGAUUGCUUUCUUUGCCGCUGUUCGCCUGUCUUUGAUCUCGACAGAGGAGGAAUCAUGCGCCGACACGCAGCACACGUCCCUUCUUUGCCUUCGGCCGGUUCGACCGGAUUUUCCAGGGAGCCGUCUCUGGUGUGCCGAGAAUCAGCCGACGUCGGCCAUCCUCCAACCUCUUGUUUCGAGCCUUAAACAGCCGUACACCAGGUUGUUUGAUUACAAAAUUAUACCAUCGGCCGAUACUUCGCGACAUAUAGCGAUUCCUUCCUCUUUCUUAUUUGUACACCGCUCCGUGCUUUUUAUCGAUUCACACCAUCCGGUGAUGGGUAUGGAGGAACAAGUGACGAAUGGCUGUGAUCGAGGUGCUUGAUAUUAGCGAUUUGCGGGAUGACAUAGGAAGAUGGAGAGGUUAGGUGAGAAAUUGGAUAGUUGAAAUUAGGUUAGAAAAUUUGUGUUGAAAUAAUAUUUCUAUUAACAAUAUCUUGAUAAAUUUCGAUAUUGAUAAUUUAAAAAAUUUUAAUAAGAGAUCUUGGAUGUAAUUUUUUUUUACAAAAUUUCCACUUAGCUUCUGUUAAAUUUGUGUCCAUUACGAUAAUCUCAUUAUAUAGAUAUGUAUCGAGGAAUAUACUAAUUUUUUUUAAGAACUAUAUUUUAUUAUUUAUGAUUAUUAAAGAUAUUUCUAG